UUGGUUUGUUAUUGGUGGUCGGCUCAAUUGCUAACUUCCACCUAGCAUGCCUCUGUUCAUUUGUCCGUUAAGGCCUUAGGUGCCUGAAAAUCGUGGGUUUCGUGUGUUUCCUACCUAUCGUAUGGUAUUGAUUUGGCUUAUCAAUGUCUUGUUCGUCUUUUGUCAUGCUUAUGAAAUCAGAUGAACCCUAAACCAGUCUCUUUGAAACACAUCAUUAACGCUUGUAAUGACGUAGUGGCGCAUUGAGCCUUGGUUGGUCUCUUCGAUGUGGUACCUAAUGUAGGUGUGGGUCUCAUUGAUCCCUGGUUUGUGUUUAUGCUUUGUAAAAUGACAGCUUGACACGUGUUGCCUUGUAACAGCGUGUUGGGCUUCGUCUAAGAGGAGAGUUACCUGGU
rnacentral:misc_RNA from 1 species